GUCAGGAAGAGGAAGAAACAGAGGGUAUAAGAGCAGUUGGAAUGAGAAUAUCGAGGAAAGCCAAGCUUGACGAUUCCCUCCUAGAAAUGGGGGUGGAAAUUUAAUUUGGUGUUUUCCCGAUGCCUCUCAUUCCUAUUGUUCUUAAGCCCUCCUUCCUCUUCCUUUUGGCG
rnacentral:pre_miRNA from 1 species